UGGGGAAUAUUGGACAAUGGGCGAAAGCCUGAUCCAGCCAUGCCGCGUGAGUGAUGAAGGCCUUAGGGUUGUAAAACUCUUUCGCCGGGGAAGAUAAUGACGGUACCCGGAGAAGAAGCUCCGGCUAACUUCGUGCCAGCAGCCGCGGUAAUACGAAGGGAGCUAGCGUUGUUCGGAAUUACUGGGCGUAAAGCGCACGUAGGCGGGCUAUUAAGUCAGGGGUGAAAUCCCGAGGCUCAACCUCGGAACUGCCUUUGAUACUGAUAGUCUUGAGAUCGGGAGAGGUGAGUGGAAUUCCUAGUGUAGAGGUGAAAUUCGUAGAUAUCGGGAGGAACACCUGUGGCGAAGGCGGCCACCUGGUUGGAUACUGACGCUGAGACGCGAAAGCGUGGGGAGCAAACAGGAUUAGAUACCCGCGUAGUCCCUGAGCGGGCUGGCAAGGCGCAU
rnacentral:rRNA from 1 species